rnacentral:rRNA from 1 species
CACGGGGGGAGCAAGCGUUGUUCGGAAUCACUGGGCGUAAAGGGCGUGUAGGCGGUCAAGUAAGUGGAAUGUGAAAUCCCUCGGCUUACCCGAGGACCUGCAUCCCAAACUGCUUGGCUUGAGUAUGGGAGAGGAUGAGGGAAUUCCUGGUGUAGCGGUGAAAUGCGUAGAUAUCAGGAGGAACACCGGUGGCGAAAGCGCUCAUCCGGCCCAAUACUGACGCUGAGGCGCGAAAGCUAGGGGAGCAAACGGG